GUGUCUAGCCCAGCCAGGGGAGCAGCAACCGCAGCAGUAGCGAGGGCCCAAUUCCCAGCAAGAGCAGCAGCCCUCUCCCUCCUUCCCUCUACAGCAGAGUAGAAGAAGGGAGAUACACUACUGGCCACUAGAGAAGCAGGUGUCUGUUCCCUGAGUGAGCAGAACAGGGGCUGCUCCAGGCUAAUGAGAACACCUGACUCCAAUUAACCUGCUAAGAGUCAGGUGAGGCUGUUAAGCACCUGACUCUAAUUAAGGCCCCUCCGAUGCUAUAAAAGGGCUCACUCCAGGCAGGCUAGGGGGAGCUAGAGAAGAGGAAGUGUAUGAGAGGAACUGGGAGCAAGAGGUGUGCAAGAAGCUGAGGUUCCUAGGUCUGGAAAUCCUUACAUGACUGACAGAGCGUAGUAGGCCUGCAAGGACUUGCCCACUCAGAGGGUCGAUGGAAACAUUUUGAGAUGUGUUCUGGUCCAAAAAAUCUAAAUAAAUCAAAGAGACAAGAUUUAGGCACUUGUUUUGGAAAAUCUUGGCCUUGACCUCUUUCCACCUCAGUUUUUCCAUCAGGAUAAUAAUACUUAUGAAUCUAAUAGAAAUGGUUGUGUGGAUUGUAAGUUGAUGUUUGUAAAUGCUUUGAAG